rnacentral:rRNA from 1 species
AUUGAACGCUGGCGGCAUGCUUUACACAUGCAAGUCGAACGGUAACAGGUUAAGCUGACGAGUGGCGAACGGGUGAGUAAUGCAUCGGAACGUGCCCGGUCGUGGGGGAUAACGCAGCGAAAGCUGCGCUAAUACCGCAUACGAUCUGAGGAUGAAAGCGGGGGACCGUAAGGCCUCGCGCGAUCGGAGCGGCCGAUGUCAGAUUAGGUAGUUGGUGGGGUAAAGGCUCACCAAGCCGACGAUCUGUAGCUGGUCUGAGAGGACGACCAGCCACACUGGGACUGGGACACGGCCCAGACUCCGACGGGAGGGAGCAGUGGGGAAUUUUGGACAAUGGGCGCAAGCCUGAUCCAGCAAUGCCGCGUGCAGGAAGAAGGCCUUCGGGUUGUAAACUGCUUUUGUACGGAGCGAAAAGGCCCUCUCUAAUACAGGGGGCUCAUGACGGUACCGUAAGAAUAAGCACCGGCUAACUACGUGCCAGCAGCCGCAGUAA